UAUUUUGCGCAGUAUAGGUGGGAAGCUAUGAUAAUAAGCUUGUGGGCAUAUUAGAGCUAACAGUGAGAUACCACCCUUAAUAAACUAGAAUUCUAACUUUGAUAGUCGUUAACCGGCCAAAGAACAGUUUCAGGUGGGCAGUUUGACUGGGGCGGUCGCCUCCUAAAAGGUAACGGAGGCGUGCAAAGGUUCCCUCAGGCUGGUCGGAAAUCAGUCUUAGAGUAUAAAGGCAUAAGGGAGCUUGACUGCAAGACUUACAAGUCGAGCAGAGACGAAAGUCGGCCUUAGUGAUCCGACAGUGCUGAGUGGAAAGGCUGUCGCUCAACGGAUAAAAGUUAC
rnacentral:rRNA from 1 species